GACGAACGCUGGCGGCGUGCUUAACACAUGCAAGUCGAACGGAAAGGCCCUGCUUGCAGGGUACUCGAGUGGCGAACGGGUGAGUAACACGUGGGUGAUCUGCCCUGCACUUCGGGAUAAGCCUGGGAAACUGGGUCUAAUACCGGAUAGGGGCCAUUUUUAGUGUGAUGGUUGGAAAGUUUUUUCGGUGUAGGAUGAGCUCGCGGCCUAUCAGCUUGUUGGUGGGGUAAUGGCCUACCAAGGCGGCGACGGGUAGCCGGCCUGAGAGGGUGGACGGCCACUUUGGGGAUGAGAUCGGGCCCAGCCCCCGAGGGGGGGAGGGAGGGGGGAAGUUUGCACAAGGGGCGCAAGUCGAAUGCGGCGACGCCGGGGGGGGGAGGACGUCCUUGGGGUUAAAAACUCUUUGCGCGGGGGAGAAGUCUUUUUGGGCCGGAACCUAGAAAAGAACCCCCGCCUACCUCCGUG
rnacentral:rRNA from 1 species